CUGGCCUGUAGGGGGCCGGAGGCUAGUGAUGGCGAACUGAAGCUUUCUGAACCAGUGAAGCUUUCAAUCCAAUUGUAUCGAAAAAAGGUUCAGUACUUGAA